rnacentral:lncRNA from 1 species
UUUUUUAGGGCCACUCCCACAGCAUAUGGAGGUUCCUAUGCUAGGGGUCUAAAUAAAGCUGUAGCUGCUGGCCUAUGCCAGAGGCGCAGCGACACAGGAUAUAAGCCAUGUCUGAAACCUACAACACAGCUCAUGGCAAUGCCAGAUCCUUAACCCACUGAGCAAGGCCAGAUAUCAAAACACGACCUCAUGAUUCCUAGUAGGAUUUGUUAACCACCAAGCCAUGAUGGGUACUCUGGCAUCACUUGUUUUUGAAAUUAAGUAUUUGGUUGUAGAAAUAGGCUGCAGGGAGAAGAACCUGCUGUCAGAAACACUAAUCAGGACUGGGAUUUUGUCUAGUGAUUUCUAAACCAGAUUACACAUCAGAAUUGUCUGGGGGAGUUUUGGUCAAAAUAUAGAUUCUGAAGUAUUAGCAUAGAAACUGAUUCAGUAGGUUAUGAAAAUUGUCUGCUAAUAUUCAUGUUAUAAAUACUUCUCAGGUGAUUAAAAUGUAUUUUAAAUUCUUUGUGUAAUAGGAUAUUUAGUUUUGAGGAAGACAAAGAGAUCAAAAUAAAUUAGAGUAUGAAGUAAUUAGGAUCAGAUGACAUAUGAGUUAUGAAGGGUGGUUAGUAAAGGAGAGAGUGUAACUGGGUAGCUUGGAAGAGUAAUCAGAAGUUGAGAUUGAGAAUCAAAUGCAGUGGCUAGUUUUUACAAGGGACAAUCUCAACCUCCAGGUGAUACAUACUUAGCAUUAUGGUGCGGACAAGUGUUUAAUAGCAAUAAUGAUUUGGGAAUCAUUGAGGUGGCUAAAAUCAAAAUAUGUAUUCCUCUCCAUUUGACAAUGUGCCUAAAGAGAAGUAAACCAUGAAAAUUAGCAUGGGAACAUUGUAGUAAAGACAUUACAAAUGGAGAUACAUUAUUUAUUAGAUGGAUAACCUCUGAUCAUCCUUUCUAUCAUAUGAGUGUUGGUAGUGGAAAAAAGCUGUCAUCCAUUCUAGGAUGCCAAAAAGGCUAGAAACUGACUUUAAUCUUGCCCUGAGAGGGAAGGGACUAGAUAUAGGGUUAGCAACUCAAACUCACCUAUACUGGAAUGACAAUAUGAAGAGGGGAGAAAGAAGUCAAAAGUGGAUGGAAGAGAUUUUUGGUUGCAAGUGAACCAGAGGUGCAAGACACCAGAAUGCAUUCUGUGCCCACAUCAGUGGCAUUGUCAGUGUGAAUUGUGACAUUCAAGGUCAACUCUAACUGAACUACAGUUGGAACAUGGUUUUGGGCGUCAGCUUCAUUCUCUGUUUUCUACCCAUUUCACCAAUGAACUUCUCUAACUACCCUAGCAAUUCUAGGUUUGAACCAAUUUCCAUUCAGUUAAUCCAUUGUGUCUUAUAACCCAGAGCUCUGGCUCGCUCAAAAGGAGAAAAUAAAAAACCAGAAAAGGCUGCUGAGCAGAGAGGUCCGAAAAGCAGGAGGGAGUUGGAAAGCUGAGACAUGGUCACUUAAAGAGAGAAAUGCUCAGAAAAGACAAAGGAAAGUACAGCGCCUAAAGCAUAAUGAAUCUUCUGAUGGGAUAACAACUGAACAAGAUAACUGAGUGCAGGAAUUAGGAGACUUUCAGUGGCUUUAGUGAGAGCAGUGUCCAUUUUGUGAUAGAGUUGAAGUUCUAGAAUAAUGAGAAAUGAAUAGGAAGAAAGUGACCCAGCACUAUGAGAAUGAAAUAAAGUAUCAAAGAUGUGGAGAAGAGAUGUGAAUUUGUCUUGUAGGAUGAUGUCAUGAAAGUUGUCAGAAAAGAGAGAGCUCGGUUUGAGAGGAAAGGGGAUAAAGAAGAGUAACUGGAACUUUGGAGGGUGAAAAGAGAAGCCAAAAGAGACAAAGGGACAUAGAUGCAUAAGUGUAGGAAGGACAAGGUAAUGAAGAGGGAGAGAGGAAUUACCAGAGAAAGGAUAAAGAGGAAAUAAAGGGAAAGGCUUAAAGGUAGGGCAUAAAUAUUUGUCUUCACUCUAAUUUUCAUUGAAAGUCAUCAGCACUAGGAAUGCUUUCUUUUCCUAAAAAUCCCAAGUUUAUUUUCCUAUGGAAUACAGGCUUUCCUUUUAACUUUACUUGAUACCUGUGUAUUGUUGAUGUAUGUGCUACUGCUACCUAGUAUCUUUGUUAUCACUAUGAUUAGAGCCGACUUUCUCUAGAAUCCUACUGGUUUUACUUGAUAGCUUUUGCCUCUCCACUAGUUGUAUAGGUGAAAAAAUUGAGCCCAAGCUAGAAUAUUAAUACAGACAGUAUAAAUUAUGGCAAAAGCUGCAGUUAUUGUAUGUAUAUUUCUUGGAAUUGGCUUCCUCCCAUACAGUCCCAGAUACCUAGGUAAUCAAAAUUUCAAUUUAACAUGUGAGAACUUAUUAGGUAAUAAAGCUUUAAAGAGCACUUGAGAAACAUUUCAUGAAUACAUUGAUUUAUAUAUUUAUACACACAUAUAUAUACAACCUUUCUGUGGUUUUGUGUAUAUAUAUAUAUAUAUAUGUAUAUAUAUGUGUGUGUGUGUGUGUGUAUACAUAUGUAUCUUUGUAUGACACUAAAUGUCAAUGAAGUUAUUUUAAUUUCCAAAGAAAUUACUGAAGGAAUUAGGUUAAAGGAUAGAGAGAUGACAAUUUAAGUGAUUUAUCUUAAAAUUUAAUCAGCAUGUGUUUAAUUUAAAGGAAUAUGUAUUUACAACAGAAUUAUCAAAAGAUUUCUUACACAGGAAAUAUUAUGACCUAACUCUCUAAACUUACUUUUGAAAUGUUUAACAUUCUAAUUCACCAAAACAUAUCCUCUGGAGUCAUUAUGAUUAUUCUAAUUAGAUAAGUGUAUACAAUUAAAGAGCACAGCAUAGUCUUAAAGCUGUUUUAUGCAUAAUAAUAAAAUAUACAGAUUAUUCACUAUGUUUUCAUUAACUGGUUAAUUUGGUAUAUUGUAAACCAAAUCAAAAUUAUUAUAAAUUUAACAGCAUUUUAACUUUCUCUAAAAAUAUAAUGAAUGUUAUAGAAAUAAAUAAUUCUCUUACCAAUAAUUACUAAAUUGUUGAGAUCCUUUUAGUGUUUGCUUUGUGAAAUCAAAAAUAAAAUAACAUCACUGCAUUGACAAUAACACAGGCAGCAAUAAUUUACACAGUGAUAAAUUUUGGAGGCUUCAUUAUUCAAGCUAAAGAAAACUUGUUUUGAACAUAGGAUUCAACCAAGAGUACAACUAUAUGCUUUUGCAGAAGAGGGAGAAGUAACAAAUUGAAACUCCCCUGAUAGCACUCAUGGCCUCCCAUUAGCAAAAGACUAAGCUAUUCUCCUGGGCGUUUUGGACUUGGACAUUUAUGAGAAAUGCAGCUUGUUUCCCAGGACAUCACAGGCUCUGAAAUCAUAAACAUCAGAAACUGUAAACAGCUCCAGUUUUAACAGCUGGAAUUUUACCUCAUGCCAUUACGUUCCACCACAGAGGACACUCUGACAUCUUUAGGUACACUACAAGGUAUUUAUGGUACCUGGCACCAUACUUUGUUCAGUAUGAUCUUGUCUGAGCUAAUCAUACAUGAUUUUAAUGAGACCAAUAUUCUAGACUCCCUUAGGUGGUGACUCUAAGAAAUUUGAGUUUCCCUUGUAAAUGUAUCUCUGUUCCAGAUCUAAAUGAUCACAGAAAUUCUAGAUUAUUGGAAAAGCACAGUAUGGUAAAUGUGACUUGCAAAGAGGGAUGAGGGAGGAGCCAGAUGGGGUCAGGGAAGGUGGCAUAUGUGAGUAACACAGGGUCUGGAGGCUGGGUCAUGGAGUUCAUACUUCACCUCAAUUUAGAGGAAAACUAUAGAAGGAUUUUUAACAUACUUAGAUUUGACUUUUGUGCAAUAAUGAAGUUGUCAGUGAACACUUGUUCAAAAAAUGAAACAAUAAUUUAGUUUUUGGUAUUUUGAGGUCAUAUUUGAAUAGAAAAAAAAAAUGUGAACUCUCCACUUGGGAUAUCCUUGGCUGGAUAAGAGUAGAGCAACUAUGCCAUUUCAGUAGACUGAUUAAACACUCAUCUGGUUCCUUACAAUUUUGUUGGGGGAACCCAAACUGUAAAAGAAAAGUAACAUAGGAGAGAGGAGAUCCUGGGAAAAGUACACAUGAGUGUGGAGUAGGGGAAUGUGAUAUACAGCAGCUGCUUUAGCAUAACCAACAUUUAAUGUAAAUUAACUGUCACCUUAAAUUUUGUGCAUUUACCACCUAAAUCAUCUGGUUGCUUAUCUGUGAGCCAAAAGGUCUGUGUUGUUGCUUCCAAUAGGGGCAGUCUACAUGAAACUUUACUGAAUUUUAUCCCUUUGGCAUAUACGAACACUGAACGUUUUUGAAAUAGGAGGUGGCAUCAUCAAGUAUUUUUUUUUAAUUAAAUAGGUGUUUGCAGAAAAUAACAUGGUUUCAGAAAUACUAAUCAGGAAGCUGUGACUAUUGUCCCAUGAUUCUCAAUUCAGAUUACAUAUCAGAAUCUUCUGGGGGAGGUUCUGGAACAAAAUAUAGAUUCAGAGGUGCUGUAAAAAAUUGAUUUAGUAGAUCAUGAAUGUCACCUAGUAGUGUGCAUUUUUAAAAUGUUUCCUAGGUGAUUAAACUGUAUGCAAAACUCUUACUCUCUGUGUGAUUUUUGGGGGAUGUGGAGGAAUUAAAGAUAAUCAUUCAAACAAAUGAGAACAGAGUCACAUGCACUGGUGAGAUAUUAGAUAUGAAUGGGUGCUACUACAGAGAGAAUCACAUGAUGGCUCAGAAGAAAGUUACAAAAUAUGGAGAUGAAAACUCAGAUGCAAUGGCCAGUUUUUGCACAGAGCAGUCUUGACAUCCACAUGAUACAUACUUGGUGUUAUGAUUCCACAAAUGCUUAAUAAGAAUAAUCAUUUGGUAAUCAUUGAGGUGGCUAAAAGCAAAGUUAACAUAAAACAAGACACAGAGACAUUUAUCUUAAUUAAAGAUGGGAACUGGGGGAACUCCAGUUCUGGAGGACUAAGAACCCUGCCUCAACAAACUACACUGCUUUUAUUGUGCUUAUUAGGAUCAUGUUAAUUGAUCAGUGUGUUGCCAAUGCAGGAUAUGGUUCUUUUUAUUAUUUAAAAAGUUAUUUUAUUAUUUUAAAAGUCACAUAGCUGGUAGAUGGUUAAGCUUUUAUUCUGACAUUUAGGCAUUUAACAAUCCUUGGCAUUGAGGAAGCUUGGUGUCAGCUAUCUAUGUACAGCAUCUAGAGACUCAUCAUUGUGCUUCUGCAAAUGGCAUGCCUAUCUAAGGGAAACUGGGUAUGCCUAGGUCUGCAUCUCAGGUCUCUUUGCUGAUGCAUAUUCUCCUAACGAAUGCUCAUAAACCACUUGGAGCUAUGAGGUUCCUCUUUCUUUGAUUUACAGGACAUAUCAUGCUGUGCAAAUGGUGUGCCAUUCUGCAUAGGUCCAGCAUGGCUAGACCAAUGCAUUAUGUCCUCAUUCAGCUGACCAUAUGAAUAACUUAUACCUUUUGGUCUUUCUUCUUAAGCUUAAGUCUUUACCAGCACUGUGACUGUUUUUCAAGCAGGAAUAUGGGGUAAAGUAACAGGAAAAGAUGGAGAUUUCAUCAUAGAAAAUAGAAGCAAAGAAGCUUUAAAAAUGUCUUAGAUGUGACUUUUUUUCCCCCCUUUUUAGGGCCGCACCUGCAGCAUAUGGAAGUUUCCAGGCCAGGUGUCAAAUUGGAGCUGCAGCCACGCUGGAUCCUUUACCCACUGAGAGAGGCCAGGUAGUAUCGAACCCACAUCCUCAUGGAUGCUAGUCAGGUUCACAAGGAAAUCCUGCUGAAUAGCAUUGAGAACUUUGUCUAGAUACUCAUGUUGCAACAGAACAAAGGGUGGGGGAAAAAUGUAAUUGUAAUGUAUACAUGUAAGGAUAACCUGACCCCCUUGCUGUACAGUGGGAAAAUAAAAAAAAUUAUUUAAAAAAAAUGUCUUAGAAACAUGUCUCCCAACAGGACAUUUAAGUAGUUUCCAUGUCUUGGCAAAUGUGAAUAGUGCUGCACUUAAUAUAGAGUUACACGUAUUCUUCGAAGGAAAGUUUUGUCCAGAUAUAUGACCAGGAGUGGGAUUGCUGGAUUGUAUGGUAGUUCUAUAUUUAGUUUUCUGAAGAAUCUUCCCCUGGUGGUGGUUCCAAUUUACAUUUCAACCAACAGUGAAGGAAAGUUUCUUUUUCUCCACACAGUCUCCAGAACUUGUUAUUUGUUGACUUGUAAGUGAUGACCAUUCUGACUAAGGUGAAGUGAUACAUCAUUCAUUGUCAUUUUGAUUUGCUUUUCUCUAAUAAUGAGUGAUGUUGAGCAUUUUUCAUAUGCCUACUGGCCAAUCAUAUGUUGUCUUUGGAGAAAUGUCUCUUUAUAUUUGAAGAAUCAAUAUUGUUAAAAAGACUAUGAAUCAAAACCAUCUACAGAUUCAUUGCAGUCCAUAUCAAAUUACCAAGGACAUUCUUCCCACACUAGAACAAAUUACUUUAAAAUAUAUAUGGAAACAUGAAAGAUCCAAAAGGGCCAAAGCACUAUUGAAAAAGAAAAAUGGAACUGGAAGAAUCAAGCUUCCUGACUUCAGACUAUACUACAAAGUUAUAGUCCUCCAAACCAUAAAGUAAUAGCACAAAAACAGAAAUAUAGUCAAUGGGACAGGACAGGAAGCCCAGAAAUAAACCCAGGCACCCUUGGUCAACUAAUCUUUGAGAAAGUAGGCAGGAACAUACAGUGGAAGAAAGAUAAUACCUUUAAUGAGUGGUGUUGCAAAAAACAGCUACAUGUAAGAAAGAGAUACCCACUUACACAUGCUAUGUAUUUGUGCCUUCAAUCAUUUUCAUAUUAUACAUAUUUUACAAAUUCCUAUUUAGGAGCUCAAGUCUGUAAGCUACUGUGCUACCUACUGCAAAACACAGAAACCUAAUGGAUUGUCAUAUAAAGGAGCUUAUGGACCAAAAUAUGAUCAUAUUAUCACACAUGGUCAAGUGGGGCCAAGAAGAAUAAAUA